GACAGAGGAUGCAAGCGUUAUCCGGAAUGAUUGGGCGUAAAGCGUCUGUAGGUGGCUUUUAAGUCCGCCGUCAAAUCCCAGGGCUCAACCUCGGACAGGCGGUGGAAACUACCAAGCUGGAGUACGGUAGGGGCAGAGGGAAUUUCCGGUGGAGCGGUGAAAUGCGUAGAGAUCGGAAAGAACACCAACGGCGAAAAGCACUCUGCUGGGCCGAACACUGACACUGAAGAGACGAAAGCUAGGGGAGCGAAUGGGGA
rnacentral:rRNA from 1 species